rnacentral:rRNA from 1 species
UACGUAGGGUGCAAGCGUGUCCGGAAUUAUUGGGCGUAAAGAGCUCGUAGGCGGUUUGUCGCGUCUGCUGUGAAAACCCGAGGCUCAACCUCGGGCCGCAGUGGGUACGGGCAGACUAGAGUGCGGUAGGGGAGAUUGGAAUUCCUGGUGUAGCGGUGGAAUGCGCAGAUAUCAGGAGGAACACCAAUGGCGAAGGCAGAUCUCUGGGCCGUAACUGACGCUGAGGAGCGAAAGCAUGGGGAGCGAACAGG